rnacentral:rRNA from 1 species
GACGAACGCUGGCGGCGUGCCUAACACAUGCAAGUCGAGCGGAGAUAGACGGAUGGUAACUGAAGUUUGUCUUAGCGGCGGACGGGUGAGUAACACGUGGGCAACCUGCCUCGAAGAGGGGGAUAACACCGAGAAAUCGGUGCUAAUACCGCAUAACAUCACAUUAUCGCAUGGUAGAGUGAUCAAAGGAGAAAUCCGCUUUGAGAUGGGCCCGCGGCUGAUUAGCUAGUUGGUAAGGUAAAGGCUUACCAAGGCGACGAUCAGUAGCCGACCUGAGAGGGUGACCGGCCACACUGGAACUGAGACACGGUCCAGACUCCUACGGGAGGCAGCAGUGGGGAAUAUUGCGCAAUGGGGGAAACCCUGACGCAGCAACGCCGCGUGGAGGAAGAAGGUCUUCGGAUUGUAAACUCCUGUCUUCUGGGACGAUAAUGACGGUACCAGAGGAGGAAGCCACGGCUAACUACGUG